rnacentral:rRNA from 1 species
UACAGAGGGGGCAAGCGUUGUUCGGAAUUACUGGGCGUAAAGGGCGCGUAGGCGGCCUGUUAAGUCGAACGUGAAAUCCCCGGGCUCAACCCGGGAACUGCGUCCGAUACUGGCAGGCUUGAAUCCGGGAGAGGGAUGCGGAAUUCCAGGUGUAGCGGUGAAAUGCGUAGAUAUCUGGAGGAACACCCGUGGCGAAGGCGGUUCUCUGGGACGGUACUGACACUGAGACGCGAAAGCGUGGGGAGCGAACAGG